UACGUAGGGGGCAAGCGUUGUCCGGAUUUAUUGGGCGUAAAGGGCUCGUAGGCGGUUUGUCGCGUCGGGAGUGAAAACUCAGGGCUUAACCCUGAGCCUGCUUCCGAUACGGGCAGACUAGAGGUAUGCAGGGGAGAACGGAAUUCCUGGUGUAGCGGUGAAAUGCGCAGAUAUCAGGAGGAACACCGGUGGCGAAGGCGGGUCUCUGGGCCGAUACUGACGCUGAGGAGCGAAAGCAUGGGUAGCGAACAGG
rnacentral:rRNA from 1 species